rnacentral:rRNA from 1 species
AUUGGACGCUGGCGGCAUGCCUUACACAUGCAAGUCGAACGGCAGCACGGGAGCUUGCUCCUGGUGGCGAGUGGCGAACGGGUGAGUAAUGCAUCGGAACGUACCCAGGAGUGGGGGAUAACUAUCCGAAAGGAUGGCUAAUACCGCAUAUCCUGUGAGCAGGAAAGCGGGGGAUCGCAAGACCUCGCGCUCUUGGAGCGGCCGAUGUCGGAUUAGCUAGUUGGUGAGGUAAAGGCUCACCAAGGCGACGAUCCGUAGCAGGUCUGAGAGGAUGAUCUGCCACACUGGGACUGAGACACGGCCCAGACUCCUACGGGAGGCAGCAGUGGGGAAUUUUGGACAAUGGGGGCAACCCUGAUCCAGCCAUGCCGCGUGAGUGAAGAAGGCCUUCGGGUUGUAAAGCUCUUUCGGCGGGGAAGAAAUAGCAACGGCUAAUAUCCGUUGUUGAUGACGGUACCCGCAUAAGAAGCACCGGCUAACUACGUGCCAGCCGCCGCCGUAAGAC